GACGAACGCUGGAGGCGUGCUUAACACAUGCAAGUCGAACGAUGAAAUGGAGCUUGCUCCAUGGAUUAGUGGCGAACGGGUGAGUAACACGUGAAUAACCUGCCCUUAAUUUUGGAAUAACCCAGGGAAACCUGGGCCAAUACCGGAUAAGUAAACCUGUGGCAUCACAUGGUUUUGGAAAGUUUUUCGAUUAAGGAUGGAUUCGCGGCCUAUCAGCUUGUUGGUGAGGUAAUGGCUCACCAAGGCGACGACGGGUAGCCGGCCUGAGAGGGUGAACGGCCACACUGGGACUGAGACACGGCCCAGACUCCUACGGGAGGCAGCAGUGGGGAAUAUUGCGCAAUGGACGAAAGUCUGACGCAGCGACGCCUCGUGAGGGACGAAGGUCUUCGGAUUGUAAACCUCUUUCAGCAGGGACGAAGCGAAAGCGACGGUACCUGCAGAAGAAGCACCGGCUAACUAUGUGCCAGCAGCCGCCGUAA
rnacentral:rRNA from 1 species